rnacentral:tRNA from 1 species
GCCGGUCAGUGGUUCAAUCCCUCUAGCCCUCA